rnacentral:rRNA from 1 species
GAGCAUGGGGUUUAAUUCGAAGCAACGCGAAGAACCUUACCUAAGCGUGACAUCCCAAUGACAUCUCCUUAAUCGGAGAGUGCCCUUCGGGGACAUUGGUGACAGGUGGUGCAUGGUUGUCGUCAGCUCGUGUCGUGAGAUGUUGGGUUAAGUCCCGCAACGAGCGCAACCCUUGUCUUUAGUUGCCAUCAUUAAGUUGGGCACUCUAGAGAGACUGCCAGGGAUAACCUGGAGGAAGGUGGGGAUGACGUCAAAUCAUCAUGCC